UGGAAGCUUCUGGCAGCUUCAGUCUGCAGUGC
rnacentral:piRNA from 1 species